UUGACGGGGCCGCACAAGCGGUGGAGCAUGUGUUUAAUUCGAAGCAACGCGAAGAACCUUACCAGGUCUUGACAUCCCGAUGCUAUUUCUAGAGAUAGAAAGUUACUUCGGUACAUCGGUGACAGGUGGUGCAUGGUUGUCGUCAGCUCGUGUCGUGAGAUGUUGGGUUAAGUCCCGCAACGAGCGCAACCCCUAUUGUUAGUUGCCAUCAUUCAGUUGGGCACUCUAGCGAGACUGCCGGUAAUAAACCGGAGGAAGUGGGAUGACGUCAAAUCAUCAUGCCCCUUAUGACCUGGGCUACACACGUGCUACAAUGGUUGGUACAACGAGUUGCGAGUCGGUGACGGCGAGCUAAUCUCUUAAAGCCAAUCUCAGUUCGGAUUGUAGGCUGCAACUCGCCUACAUGAAGUCGGAAUCGCUAGUAAUCGCGGAUCAGCACGCCGCGGUGAAUACGUUCCCGGGCCUU
rnacentral:rRNA from 1 species